ACAAGACAGCACCGGGUUUCACACUGGCAAGGCAGGAGGCUGUGUGCUGCCAGAACGACCAGCAGGGGGCGCAAAGGCCACUCCAGGCACCUGCUGGCCUCAGAGAAAACAGAAAGGAAACCAGGAAGCCCACUCCUGCUGUCCUUUCUCUGCAAGGAAAUGUGCCAGGACACUGCAGCCCAGACAGUCGGCAGUAGAGGACCCAUGAAGUAUCUUUGUGCAAAGAAAGCAGCAAAGAGAAUUAAGAGAACUGCAUCAUAUAAAGAGUGAAUUAAACCAUCUAAAGGAGCAAAAAGUCAUCAUCACAUGGACAAGAAAUUAAGACGUAACAUCCAUCUCACUAUUUGCAAAGUGGCUUAUUCCUACAGACAAUGCAGAUAUGUAAAAAGCAGCUGGAAACCUAGGAGCAGAAGCCCAGCAUAAAGAUUUCUGAAAUCCUGGAUGCGUGGAUUCCUCUCUUAUUUCCCAAAACCGUGGGGUGGAAAUGUGAAUAUCAGCAUGAUGCACAGAUCUCUGCAGAUGUCCAGUGAACUGAAUUUCUAGACGCUAUAAUCUAUGUUCUUUCCCAACCCCCACUUCAGUUUACAUAUCGCAGGCCAUAGAUCCUGUUUGUUGAAAAGCGAUCAGCUAGAAAACAAGAGUGGUUAUAACCUGUGCUGCCCAGUGAUCAGGAAAAGAGAGUGGAUGAAACUUCCAUGACUUCCUGUUAGUCUGAUUAAUAUCCAUGCCAAAUGUAAGAUUAGUUAAAAGGCCUUAUUGCUUCCCACCAAAAUGUUCCUUCGCUAGCUAUAUACUACACUGAAAUGUAAAGUUAUGGGUAUGUUUAACAGUUUAAUUUGUCAGUGGGCAUCCAACUCUUCUAUUUGUGUUUUUACUUUGAGCUUAAUUGGAGCAGACAAAUAGAGGUGACCUCUAACUGUUUUCUUCCUGAAGCCAUUUUCAGGGCAGAAGUGCUUUACCCACUUCAUUGAGAAACCACCUUUGCAUGCAGUACCCUGAGUUGUCUUCAGCACACCAAGCAUCCACAACAUGGGAAAUACCGUGCUUUAAAUGUUGCUUUAAUCACAGUGCUCAUGAGUAAGGGCAUGUCCUGUCUCUCAUCCAUGAAAACACUCCCACAAAACGAAGUCACACCCAGUAUCUGUUAAUGGAGAUACUGAGUGGGUGAAGAAGACUCAUUCCCUAAUGCAAUUCAGGUCACACAGGGUAAAAAAGAAAAAAAAAUCCUUUUCUGUUGAGGAUACAGAUGGAGAGAAAAUGGAAAAUGCCUUUCAGAACGCACAAGCCUAGUUUUCUAAUUGUGUUUCAGUGAACAUGCAGAUGAACUUACCUGUGUGGCUUGGUAUUGUGGUGGGUUUUCAGCUUCUUCUCCACCAAAUCCUUUGAAAAGCAGCAGUGGCAGAAACAAAUAACCCAAUUAAAAACAAUAAUAGCAACAAUAAAAAAAGAAAAGAUAAAGAAGAAAGCAGUGGUUUUCUUUGGCUACCUAAGGCACUUUCUACUAGGCAUUAGCAAUCUCUUUGUAAACUUUUUUCUUUACAGCAAAUGCUUCAUUCUCUAGACAAAUGUCAAGAAUUUUCAACCAUCGCCAGACUCAAUUCUUC
rnacentral:lncRNA from 1 species